UAAGGUCGCACUUUGGUCGGCUAUCGUCUUAUAGCCAUUGCCGUUUCGCAAGUACCCAUAACCGGCAGCUCGUGCGCUUAAGAUUCCUUAUCUUUGACUUACGACCCAGCACUUGAGGCCCGUUGUUUGCCCAAAACGGAGACACGAUUGGUCAAUACACAGACAGACAUACAAUAAAAACGAACACUAACAAUUUAAUGAUGGUGCAAUGACGUCAGACUCCGUCGCAUGCGCUGCGUGCUAAUACGAAAUGCAAAUGAUUGCAAAGUGUAUGCAAUUUGGACACUACCCAUUAAAUAAAAUAUAAACACUGUGAUAUAUCCAUUGAAAUCUAGAAGCUUCAAGCAUGCGAAUGUGAUUUCUAUUUAUGAGCACACGAGUUGUGUGUCUGGGUUCAUAAAUUUUCUAGCUUCCAAUUGAAUCGCAUGUGCGCAAUGUCCGGGAAAUUGGCUAAGGGAGGAACAAGCGAAGCAGUCGCUAGGUCGUCGGAGCAUGACAAGGAUUAGCGAGGAGGGGAUGACGCCCAGGACUACAAGGACUACGAGGACAGGGAUGACGACGACGACGGCGACGAUGAUGAUGAUGUUUGUGAUGAUGAUAUUGUACUGCUGUUGCUGGUGACAAUCAGUGCAAAAGAGGGGAAGAUGCAGAGCAGCCUAGUUGCACAGAGAACAAAGGACACAAAUAAUAUCUAACUCAUCAAUAAAAUGAUUAAAAUAAAAUGACAAAAAUGCCCAUUCAACUAAA